CCUUUGAUGUGGUGGCCAAAUAGAACGAUGGCAAUCUGUUGAGCAGUUCGGCGGUAAGCGGCUGAACCUUUGGUUUUCUGGGUGCCCUUCCUGGUGGUGCAGAACUUGCUGGCUGCACGCCUGAUAUUUGUACAAUCGCUGGACCUGGACAACGAGCAAACCUUGAUGCUGUGAGUGAUCUCUUGAGAAGAGUGUCAUUGGCAUGCAUUCAUGCGGCUUCUGACAAUUCUCAAGAAGCUGUCCGCACCUCCAGGAGGAACAGGGAAGUGCAACAUUCCGUACUGCCGCAAUUCCCAGUUGGCUGGAGUGUGGACAUGAUGCUGCUGUGAAGGACAGCAUCCCAGACAUUGAGCUGCGAACGUGAAGAUAGAAAUAACCUGCAAGUGUAGGCAAAGUGUGACUUCCAGUGAAAACUGAAAAUACCCCUAGAUUCAAGGUAAGAUUGGUUUCAGAAGAUGCGCAUCCAUGAGUACUCACACUAACGAUCGCAAAGAUUCCAAGAACUAGCCACCAGGUACGCGAUGACCACUCCAACAUCCCCCCUACUGGCUGGAUUUCACUGCUUGUUGGGAAGACCUGCUAAUUUAAAUGAAGAGCUCUGCCAGCACUGCUAUGGGCUCUUGAGAUCAUUAAAAGAGACAAUCAUGAGAUUCCGCUCAGCUUUGCGCAGGGGCAGUACAAUAGUCUCCUUGCCCACUACGUGCAGAUCGUUUCUGGGAUUUCAGAGGCUUCCUCGGCUUAUGCAAGCAAGAGAGACACAAUAGGAUUGUAAAUUAUUGUAUUGCAUCCGAUCAAUUCUGUC
rnacentral:lncRNA from 1 species